rnacentral:rRNA from 3 species
AAUCCAUAGGUUAAUGAGGCGAACCGGGGGAACUGAAACAUCUAAGUACCCCGAGGAAAAGAAAUCAACCGAGAUUCCCCCAGUAGCGGCGAGCGAACGGGGAGGAGCCCAGAGCCUGAAUCAGCAUGUGUGUUAGUGGAAGCGUCUGGAAAGGCGCGCGAUACAGGGUGACAGCCCCGUACACAAAAGCGCAUGUGCUGUGAGCUCGAUGAGUAGGGCGGGACACGUGGUAUCCUGUCUGAAUAUGGGGGGACCAUCCUCCAAGGCUAAAUACUCCUGACUGACCGAUAGUGAACCAGUACCGUGAGGGAAAGGCGAAAAGAACCCCGGCGAGGGGAGUGAAAAAGAACCUGAAACCGUGUACGUACAAGCAGUGGGAGCACCCUUUGGGUGUGACUGCGUACCUUUUGUAUAAUGGGUCAGCGACUUAUAUUCUGUAGCAAGGUUAACCGAAUAGGGGAGCCGGAGGGAAACCGAGUCUUAACCGGGCGUUAAGUUGCAGGGUAUAGACCCGAAACCCGGUGAUCUAGCCAUGGGCAGGUUGAAGGUUGGGUAACACUAACUGGAGGACCGAACCGACUAAUGUUGAAAAAUUAGCGGAUGACCUGUGGCUGGGGGUGAAAGGCCAAUCAAACCGGGAGAUAGCUGGUUCUCCCCGAAAGCUAUUUAGGUAGCGCCUCGUGAAUUCAUCUCCGGGGGUAGAGCACUGUUUCGGCUAGGGGGCCAUCCCGGCUUACCAACCCGAUGCAAACUGCGAAUACCGGAGAAUGUUAUCACGGGAGACACACGGCGGGUGCUAACGUCCGUCGUGAAGAGGGAAACAACCCAGACCGCCAGCUAAGGUCCCAAAGUCAUGGUUAAGUGGGAAACGAUGUGGGAAGGCCCAGACAGCCAGGAUGUUGGCUUAGAAGCAGCCAUCAUUUAAAGAAAGCGUAAUAGCUCACUGGUCGAGUCGGCCUGCGCGGAAGAUGUAACGGGGCUAAACCAUGCACCGAAGCUGCGGCAGCGACACUGUGUGUUGUUGGGUAGGGGAGCGUUCUGUAAGCCUGUGAAGGUGUGUCGUGAGGCAUGCUGGAGGUAUCAGAAGUGCGAAUGCUGACAUAAGUAACGAUAAAGCGGGUGAAAAGCCCGCUCGCCGGAAGACCAAGGGUUCCUGUCCAACGUUAAUCGGGGCAGGGUGAGUCGACCCCUAAGGCGAGGCCGAAAGGCGUAGUCGAUGGGAAACGGGUUAAUAUUCCCGUACUUGGUGUUACUGCGAAGGGGGGACGGAGAAGGCUAUGUUGGCCGGGCGACGGUUGUCCCGGUUUAAGCGUGUAGGUGUGUGUUCCAGGUAAAUCCGGUUCACUUUAACACUGAGGCGUGACGACGAGGCACUACGGUGCUGAAGCAACAAAUGCCCUGCUUCCAGGAAAAGCCUCUAAGCAUCAGGUAACAUCAAAUCGUACCCCAAACCGACACAGGUGGUCAGGUAGAGAAUACCAAGGCGCUUGAGAGAACUCGGGUGAAGGAACUAGGCAAAAUGGUGCCGUAACUUCGGGAGAAGGCACGCUGACACGUAGGUGAAGUGAUUUACUCAUGGAGCUGAAGUCAGUCGAAGAUACCAGCUGGCUGCAACUGUUUAUUAAAAACACAGCACUGUGCAAACACGAAAGUGGACGUAUACGGUGUGACGCCUGCCCGGUGCCGG